AUACGUAGGUGGCAAGCGUUGUCCGGAAUUAUUGGGCGUAAAGCGCAUGUAGGCGGUUUGCUAAGCGGGAGGUGAAAUGCCGGCGCUCAACGUCGGAAGUGCCUCCCGAACUGGUGGACUUGAAUGACUCUGCCGUGGGAGGAAUGUGUAGUGUAGCGGUGAAAUGCUUAGAGAUUACACAGAACACCGAUUGCGAAGGCAUCUCACGAAGGGUUGAUUGACGCUGAGGCACGAAAGCGUGGGGAUCAAACAGGAUUAGAUACCCUGGUAGUCCACGCAGUAAACGAUGAUGGCUAACCGCUGGGCUUAUCAGUUCAGUGGCCAAGCGAAAGCGAUAAGCCAUCCACCUGGGGAGUACGACCGCAAGGUUGAAACUCAAAGGAAUUGACGGGG
rnacentral:rRNA from 1 species